rnacentral:rRNA from 1 species
UAGGGAAUCUUCCGCAAUGGGCGAAAGCCUGACGGAGCAACGCCGCGUGAGUGAUGAAGGUCUUCGGAUCGUAAAACUCUGUUAUUAGGGAAGAACAAAUGUGUAAGUAACUAUGCACGUCUUGACGGUACCUAAUCAGAAAGCCACGGCUAACUACGUGCCAGCAGCCGCGGUAAUACGUAGGUGGCAAGCGUUAUCCGGAAUUAUUGGGCGUAAAGCGCGCGUAGGCGGUUUUUUAAGUCUGAUGUGAAAGCCCACGGCUCAACCGUGGAGGGUCAUUGGAAACUGGAAAACUUGAGUGCAGAAGAGGAAAGUGGAAUUCCAUGUGUAGCGGUGAAAUGCGCAGAGAUAUGGAGGAACACCAGUGGCGAAGACGACUUUCUGGUCUGUAACUGACGCUGAUGUGCGAAAGCGUGGGGAUCAAACAGG